rnacentral:tRNA from 1 species
GCCGGGAUGCCGGAACGGCUAACGGGCCGGACUCGAGAUCCGGUGCCCUUAUGGGCUUGGGGGUUCGAAUCCCUCUCCCGGCG